rnacentral:rRNA from 1 species
UACGUAGGGGGCGAGCGUUGUCCGGAGUUACUGGGCGUAAAGGGCAUGCAGGCGGUCCGACACGUUUUGUGUGACAGCGGGUGGCUUAACUACCCGAGGAUACGAAAGACGGUUGGACUUGAGGACUCGAGAGGGACACGGAAUUUCGUGUGUAGGGGUGAAAUCCGUAAAUAUACGAAGGAACGCCAAAAGCGAAGGCAGCUCUCUGGGUCCCUACCGACGCUGGGGGUGCGAAAGCAUGGGGAGCGGAACAGG